rnacentral:rRNA from 1 species
UUAACAAAAACAUGUCUUUUUGAGAAUAAUUUAAAGUCUAAUCUGCUCAAUGAAGAUUAAAUUGCCGCAGUAUUUUGACUGUGCAAAGGUAGCAUAAUAAUUAGCUUCUUAAUUAGAAGCUGGAAUGAAUGAUUGGACAAGAAAAUUUCUGUCUCUAUUUAAAUGUUUAUUGAAUUUUAUUUUUAAGUUAAAAAGCUUAAGUUUAUAUAAAAGACGAGAAGACCCUAUAGAGUUUAAUAUUUUUUAUUUAUUUGAUUUUAGAAUUUUUUUUGAAUUUUAAAUAUUUAAUUGGGGUGAUUUAAAGAUUUGAAUAAUUCUUUAAUUUUUUUAUUGAUGAUAAUUAAGUUUUAAAUCUAUAUUUUUAAAUUUAAUAUAAAUUACCUUAGGGAUAACAGCGUAAUUUUUCUUUAAAGCUCUUAUUAAAAGAAGAUUUUGCGACCUCGAUGUUGGAUUAAAAUUAAUUUUUGGUGCAGUAACUUAAAAAUUAGGUCUGUUCGACCUUUAAAAUUUUACAUGAUCUGAGUUUAAACCGGUGUAAGCCAGGUUGGAUUCUAUCUUUAGAUUUAUUACAUAUUUUAGUACGAAAGGACCAAAUAUUUAUUAUAAUAAUUG